GAGUGGUGUUUGGUUUGUUACGUGUGGUUGGCUGCGGCGUUUGCAACAACUUCCAUGCUUUCAGACCUCUUCAUUCGUGCGGCAAGGCUUGUAUCGCCUUGAGCGUAUUGUGGGUUUUCUGUGUUAGCUACCUAAUCAAUGGUAUCGGUUGGAUUGAUCAAUGUUUCAUUUCGUCUACCGUCGCAUUCGCGGCGUGAGAUGAACCUUGAUGCGGUCUCUUUGAUCCACCUCGUCGAAGCGCAUGCUUUGACGUUGUGGCACAUUGAGCAUUGCUUGGUCUCUUGUAUACGGAACAUAUAGUGGGCAUGGAUCUAACGAUUCUCGUUUGCCCUCAUAUUAGCGUAACGCUUCUCUUACACGACUUGCUCCACGUUUUAGCUCGUAC
rnacentral:misc_RNA from 1 species